UGGGGAAUAUUGCACAAUGGGCGCAAGCCUGAUGCAGCCAUGCCGCGUGUGUGAAGAAGGCCUUCGGGUUGUAAAGCAUUUUCAGCGGGGAGGAAGGCGUUAAGGUUAAUAACCUUGGCGAUUGACGUUACCCGCAGAAGAAGCACCGGCUAACUCCGUGCCAGCAGCCGCGGUAAUACGGAGGGUGCAAGCGUUAAUCGGAAUUACUGGGCGUAAAGCGCACGCAGGCGGUCUGUCAAGUCGGAUGUGAAAUCCCCGGGCUCAACCUGGGAACUGCAUUCGAAACUGGCAGGCUAGAGUCUUGUAGAGGGGGGUAGAAUUCCAGGUGUAGCGGUGAAAUGCGUAGAGAUCUGGAGGAAUACCGGUGGCGAAGGCGGCCCCCUGGACAAAGACUGACGCUCAGGUGCGAAAGCGUGGGGAGCAAACAGG
rnacentral:rRNA from 1 species